rnacentral:lncRNA from 1 species
ACUCCCUGCCGGAGCUUUGGUCGCUGCUGCACUUCCUCCUCCCGGAUGUCUUCUCCGACCUCACGCAGUUCCAGAACUGGUUCGACUUUUCGCAGCAGGACGACGCCGACGGCGACAAGGAGGCGAGCAAGCGCGUCAAGGUGGUCGAGAAGCUCCACGGCAUCCUGAAGCCGUUCUUGUUGCGCCGCCUGAAGGGCGACGUUGAGACCAACCUCCCGCGCAAGAAGGAGAUUGUCCUCUACGCGCACAUGGUGG